AGAUUACUACUUUGUAACCAGGGAGGUGAUGCAGCGUGACAUAGCAGCCGGCGACUUCAUCGAGCAUGCCGAGUUCUCGGGGAACCUGUAUGGCACGAGCAAGGUGGCGGUGCAGGCUGUGCAGGCCAUGAACCGCAUCUGUGUGCUGGACGUGGACCUGCAGGGUGUGCGGAACAUCAAGGCCACCGAUCUGCAGCCCAUCUACAUCUCUGUGCAGCCACCUUCACUGCAUGUGCUGGUGUGUGCUGGGCAGGGUUGGGGGCUGGGGGCCAGGGCAUGCCAGGCUCUGAUUGCCACCCCCUUUUUAGGAGCAGCGGCUGCGGCAGCGCAACACUGAAACGGAGGAGAGCCUGGUGAAGCGGCUGGCUGCUGCCCAGGCCGACAUGGAGAGCAGCAAGGAGCCCGGCCUGUUUGAUGUGGUCAUCAUUAACGACAGCCUGGACCAGGCCUACGCAGAGCUGAAGGAGGCGCUCUCUGAGGUGGGCCCAUCCUUGUGCCUACCUGGGCAAGGCCCAAGGGGAGGCCUGGGGGCCAGGCCUUUGUUGUCCAUGAGGCCACUGAGGUUAGAUGGGACAGUCCUACCCAAGCACUGGCAUGAGACACCGAGGUCCACAGUGGAGGGAGAGCAGGAAGCCCAGCCCUUCCUGGAUACCAGCCCUCCCAACUCCCUUUCUUCCUCACUGGCAGGAAAUCAAGAAAGCUCAAAGGACCGGCGCCUGAGGCUUGCUGUCUGUUCUUGGCACCCCGGGCCCAUACAGGACCAGGGCAGCAGCACUGAGCCACCCCCUUGGCAGGC
rnacentral:sRNA from 1 species